rnacentral:lncRNA from 1 species
CCAGGUUCUGCUAUUCGAUAUUGGACGGAGAGUGUCUUGGUCAUGUCUACAUAGUUCUCGAACCCGCAGGGUCUGCACACUUAAGGUUCGGUGACAUUUUACGGUAUAGUUGAAUUAUUGAUGUUGGUAAUCGAAUGUUCUUCGGAGUCCCGGAUGAGAUCUCGGACGUCACGAGUGUCUCCGGGAUGGUCCGGAAAAGAAGAUUGAUAGAUAGUAUUGUUGCAUUUGGGUUCAGGAAAGAUUUCGGGCAUUACGAGUAAAGUACCGGGAGUGAUGAAUGGCUUCCGGGGUUUUACCGGGAGGGGCCACCCACCCGGAAGAGAACCUAAUAGGCCCAUGGGUGGCGCACCAACCUUUAGUGGGCUGGUGAGGCCAGC